CACCUCUCGGUGAAGAUAAGCAGUUCAGGGAGCGGGUUAGUACACCUCGAAAGAGGCGUUGGAAAGCUCGUACAGCUAAAAGGAG
rfam:Butyricicoccus pullicaecorum 1.2 genomic scaffold acBRa-supercont1.1, whole genome shotgun sequence.